GCAGUAUAUGGGGGGCUGUCUGUGCGGUACAGUAUAUUGGGGGAUGUAUGUGCAGCAUAUUUUGGGGGGCAGUGUAUUAUAUUUGUGGCCUGUGUGUUAGAUGUGUACAACCCUAAUUUAAUAAAUACUACGAAACUGCAGCCAUCUCGUCACUUGGAGAAGGAUGAGAAGCGGCCCCCAUCCAGAGGCACACAUCUGCCACCAGAUCCGUCGCUCACUGGAUUCUGUAAUCAACGUCUGCUGUCAUGUUCUCCUAUGGAACACGAAGUACCUGAAGUGGAAUGAAGAAGCCCAUGUUUGAGGCCCGCGCCCUGGCGGGAGCAUUGAAGGGGCAUCUGACAGGUUACACAACGCUGAUCUAUCCAGGACGGCUUCAGGAUGGACUAUAAGAAGGAGGUUCAGUCCCGAUUGGGUCCGGCGCACCCUCAGGGAGUACAUAUACAGCGGCCUUGGUUUACGACGACGCACAAUGGCACAAAGAAGAACUAAGAGCAGCGCUCUGGAGACUGAACAACCUCCUGAUGCGGAAAAUGAAUGGAUCGCCAACGCCAGACCUCCUGUCCCUCAUGCAUCUGCUCGGGAGAAUCCGGGUCCCCUACCGGAUCCCUCUGCUCAACAGAGGCUCUUAGGUUGACAUCAAAAUUUAAGAGCCCUGCUGAGCAUGCAGAGAUCCGGUGUGCCAAAGCAAAAUGAUUAUGUGGCCCGUGUAGAGGUUGUUUCCAACACUGUAGAAGGUUUGGACGAACAUCAGAAGGAGUUUAGUGCUGCCUUGAUUCGCCGCUGGGAGGGAGCAGAGUCGGCGAUCCAAUGCAGCCCUAACUACCAUUAUGGGGUAAGCAUAAUCAAUUUGGUGGACUCAAUGACGCCCGAGCAGUUGCAUGAGUUUAAUAUCAU